rnacentral:rRNA from 1 species
UACGGAGGGUGCGAGCGUUGUCCGGAAUCACUGGGCGUAAAGGGCGCGUAGGUGGCCUGUGGAAGUCUGCGGUGAAAGCCCGGCGCUCAACGCCGGGUCUGCCGUGGAUACUCUCGGGCUUGAGCUUACUAGAGGCAGAUGGAAUUCCGGGUGUAGCGGUGGAAUGCGUAGAGAUCCGGAAGAACACCGGUGGCGAAGGCGGUCUGCUGGGGUAAUGCUGACACUGGAGGCGCGACAGCGUGGGGGAGCAAACAGG